UUCCUUUUAGUACAAAUAUCCCCUGAAUGCAGAAAGGAUGCACUGAUAUUUUUUUGGUCUAUCACUCAAAUCACACUCCAGCCACCAAAUGCUUGCAGGAAGCUUUGCUGAAGAAAAUAAAGCCAGCUGCAUCUUUCUAACAGCCACCACUGCCUGAUACCUCUAGUGAAGGUGCACAUCAGCUUGAGGCGAACCCUGCCUCCUGGGUGACAGAUAGGUUGUGACAAGGUGCGACAUGCCUGAUGGACCCUACCUGAAGGAAGCAGCAUUACCCGUUACCCUCACAUGGUGUGCUUCUGAGACUUAAUGACAGUUAAUAUCACUCAGGUGUCCUAGCUAUAACAUUUUGAUGUAAAUUAAAUAGAUGCAUUGCAUCAAAGGCGUUUGUAUAAAUGGAAUAAGAAAGGGAAAAAUACUUGUUUGCUGCCUGCUGUUCUUUAUAUGCAAAUCUUAGUAUAUUACAUGGCAACAUAAAUGUUGCCUUCCAUAGCCACAUAAAUGUUUUACUGUUUUAUGAGAUGUUUGCAAUAAAUGUGAUUGAUGAUG